UAAUUGCCUCUAAUCUGGAUGGAAUAGCAUC
rnacentral:piRNA from 1 species